UACAGAGGGGGCAAGCGUUGUUCGGAAUUACUGGGCGUAAAGGGCGCGUAGGCGGCCUUCUAAGUCGAACGUGAAAUCCCCGGGCUCAACCCGGGAACUGCGUCCGAUACUGGAAGGCUUGAAUCCGGGAGAGGGAUGCGGAAUUCCAGGUGUAGCGGUGAAAUGCGCAGAUAUCAGGAGGAACACCGGUGGCGAAGGCGGGUCUCUGGGCCGUAACUGACGCUGAGGAGCGAAAGCGUGGGGAGCGAACAGG
rnacentral:rRNA from 1 species